AACGAACGCUGGCGGCAUGCCUAACACAUGCAAGUCGAACGAGACCUUCGGGUCUAUUGGCGCACGGCUGCGUAACGCGUGGGAACCUGCCCUUAGGUUCGGCAUAACUCUCCGAAAGGGGUGCUAAUACCGGAUCAUGUCUUCGGACCAAAGAUUUAUCGCCCUUGGUUGGGCCCGCGUUGGAUUAGCUAGUUGGUAGGGUAAAAGCCUACCCAGGGGCCGAUCCAUAGCUGGUCAGAGUGGAUGAUCAGCCACACUGGGAGGGAGACACGGCCCAGACUCCUACGGGAGGGAGCAGAGGGGAAUAUUGGACACGGGGCGAAAGCCUGAUACAGCAAUGCCGCGUGAGUGAUGGAGGUCUUAGGGUUGUAAAGCUCUUUUAACCGGGAUGAUAAUGACAGUACCGGGAGAAUAAGCCCCGGCUAACUCCGUG
rnacentral:rRNA from 1 species